UACGUAGGGUGCAAGCGUUGUCCGGAAUUAUUGGGCGUAAAGAGCUCGUAGGCGGUCUGUCGCGUCGGCUGUGAAAACUCGGGGCUCAACUCCGAGCUUGCAGUCGAUACGGGCAGGCUAGAGUUCGGCAGGGGAGACUGGAAUUCCUGGUGUAGCGGUGAAAUUCGUAGAUAUCGGGAGGAACACCGGUGGCGAAGGCGGCGAUCUGGGUCGAUACUGACGCUGAGGUGCGAAAGCGUGGGGAGCAAACAGG
rnacentral:rRNA from 1 species